rfam:Loa loa cont3.3153, whole genome shotgun sequence.
ACGUUGGCAACGUACUUCUUUGCAUCGCCAUACAGAAUAAUGAAAACUAUGGAAUGUAAAGAAGUAUGUAGUCCGUGA